AGCUACAAAGAUGAGUAAGGUAAAUCCCUGAUCUUGAAAAAGAGCUCAGAGUCUACAGACAAGCUAUUUGCAAUAGUUUCAGGCUCUUUGAGGGAAACAGUUAAGAGGUGUCAUGGGAAUAGUAAACUGAAAGCAGUAGGGAGUAGGGGAGAAGCUGUGGAGUUUGAAGUGAUACCAGAAUUGCAGAUCUGUGCUGAAAGCUGGAAAAGAGUGACAGUAGUAGGAAUGGAGGUGGAAGGAAGGAAUGGAGGAAAGGAAGAUUUAAGAGACAUUCCAAACAGAGCAAAAUUACAGGCCUUGGCGCAUUUCAGACUUAAGAGGAUAGAGGAGAUUGGUGACGAAUCUUGACCAAAUUUCUAGCUAAGGAGACAGACACAGGCACCGAUAGAAAUGGAGUUAACUGGUUUGGGUAGUGGAAGAGAUCAACCUCUGCAGACAGCAGAUAUGUCUCACAAACAACUGAUGCCAAUCUUGAAGUCCAACAGCUUCUUUUUUCACAAGCCUACUGAGUCCUCUUCCUCACCCCACCUCCAUCCCACUUGAUUUCACUGAGAAAGCUCACUGGUACGUUGAACACUCAACUAGGUUUGCGAGACCUAGGCAAACAGCAUGAACAACUAAUAAGAAGUACACUCCCCAGGCAUCUUUUUUAUUGGCUCUACUUGACUUUUAAAGUUAAAAUGACAUUAGCCUAGGAUAGCCCAGGUGUCUCUUGACCAUUCCUCCAAGAUUACAAAUAUCCAACUAUCCUCUGAAGCUGCCCGUGUAGAGCAAGGCAGUCUGGUCCGUUACAAUUGGAGGAUGGUACUUCCACAUUCUGAACCAGUAACUGUCACCCAGGACCAGCCAGAACCUGCUUUCUGUGGAACCCCCAACCUCCUCCUUUCCACCUCAGACACUGAGCAUGCUCACUGCAGAUUAAGAAGUGAAAAUCAUUCUUGGAGGAUGGCACAAAGGACAUUACCUAGAACAAACCAGCGUGUAGACAUUCAACCCAUUAAAGCCGUCUGGUAGAACGCGUGGUCUGGAUUAUUUCUUUUUUGAAAUGUGGAUGGAUCUGGUAACUAAGGCAUCUUAGAAGAGAAUACUGGCCUUUCUGUCUUUGGUCACAAAAGGAGAGCUUAAACAGAGAUGCUGAGAAGGCAAGUAUAGCAGAGAAUGUGAAGAAAUCCCCGCCAUGGUACCCACAGCAGAUGUUUUCGAAGUUUGGGGAUGGUAAAGGACCCAGGGGACGGUGCCAAGGAGCAGCACGAGGUGCCGUGUGAUAAAUGGAGCUGUCUCUUUCCCA